rnacentral:rRNA from 1 species
GACGAACGCUGGCGGCGUGCUUAACACAUGCAAGUCGAGCGGAAAGGCCACUUCGGUGGUACUCGAGCGGCGAACGGGUGAGUAACACGUGAGUAAUCUGCCCCUGGCUUUGGGAUAGCCACCGGAAACGGUGAUUAAUACCGGAUACGACCACUUCUCGCAUGGGAUGGUGGUGGAAAGUUUUUUCGGCCAGGGAUGUGCUCGCGGCCUAUCAGCUUGAUGGUGAGGUAAUGGCUCACCAUGGCUUCGACGGGUAGCCGGCCUGAGAGGGUGACCGGUCACACUGGGACUGAGACACGGCCCAGACUCCUACGGGAGGCAGCAGUGGGGAAUAUUGGACAAUGGGCGGAAGCCUGAUCCAGCGACGCCGCGUGAGGGAUGACGGCCUUCGGGUUGUAAACCUCUUUCAGCAGGGACGAAGCGCAAGUGACGGUACCUGCAGAAGAAGCACCGGCCAAUUGCGUGCCAGCCGCCGCCGUAA